rnacentral:rRNA from 1 species
GACGAACGCUGGCGGCGUGCUUAACACAUGCAAGUCGAACGGAAAGGCCCUGCUUUUGUGGGGUGCUCGAGUGGCGAACGGGUGAGUAACACGUGAGUAACCUGCCCUUGACUUUGGGAUAACUUCAGGAAACUGGGGCUAAUACCGGAUAGGAGCUCCUGCUGCAUGGUGGGGGUUGGAAAGUUUCGGCGGUUGGGGAUGGACUCGCGGCUUAUCAGCUUGUUGGUGGGGUAGUGGCUUACCAAGGCUUUGCCGGGUAGCCGGCCUGAGAGGGGGACCGGCCACAUUGGGACUGGACUGCGGCACAGACUAGUCCGGGAGGCAGCAGUGGGGAAGAUUGCACAGUGGGCUGAAGCCUGAUCCAGCAACGCCGCGUGCGGGAUGACGGCCUUCGGGUUGUAUUCCGCUUUCGCCUGUGACGAAGCGUGAGUGACGGUAAUGGGUAAAGAAGCACCGGCUAACUACGUG